UACGUAGGGUGCAGGCGUUAAUCGGAAUUACUGGGCGUAAAGCGUGCGCAGGCGGUUUGCUAAGACAGGUGUGAAACUCCCCGGGCUUAACCCCGAGCCUGCUUCUGAUACGGGCAGACUAGAGGUAUGCAGGGGAGAACGGAAUUCCUGGUGUAGCGGUGAAAUGCGCAGAUAUCAGGAGGAACACCAAUGGCGAAGGCAGCUCGCUGGAACGGUACUGACGCUGAGGCACGAAAGCGUGGGGAUCAAACAGG
rnacentral:rRNA from 1 species